AUACAUGCAAGUCGAGCGAACAGACAAGGAGCUUGCUCCUUUGACGUUAGCGGCGGACGGGUGAGUAACACGUGGGUAACCUACCUAUAAGACUGGGAUAACUUCGGGAAACCGGAGCUAAUACCGGAUAAUAUUUCGAACCGCAUGGUUCGAUAGUGAAAGAUGGUUUUGCUAUCACUUAUAGAUGGACCCGCGCCGUAUUAGCUAGUUGGUAAGGUAACGGCUUACCAAGGCGACGAUACGUAGCCGACCUGAGAGGGUGAUCGGCCACACUGGAACUGAGACACGGUCCAGACUCCUACGGGAGGCAGCAGUAGGGAAUCUUCCGCAAUGGGCGAAAGCCUGACGGAGCAACGCCGCGUGAGUGAUGAAGGUCUUCGGAUCGUAAAACUCUGUUAUUAGGGAAGAACAUACGUGUAAGUAACUAUGCACGUCUUGACGGUACCUAAUCAGAAAGCCACGGCUAACUACGUGCCAGCAGCCGCGGUAAUACGUAGGUGGCAAGCGUUAUCCGGAAUUAUUGGGCGUAAAGCGCGCGUAGGCGGUUUUUUAAGUCUGAUGUGAAAGCCCACGGCUCAACCGUGGAGGGUCAUUGGAAACUGGAAAACUUGAGUGCAGAAGAGGAAAGUGGAAUUCCAUGUGUAGCGGUGAAAUGCGCAGAGAUAUGGAGGAACACCAGUGGCGAAGGCGACUUUCUGGUCUGUAACUGACGCUGAUGUGCGAAAGCGUGGGGAUCAAACAGGAUUAGAUACCCUGGUAGUCCACGCCGUAAACGAUGAGUGCUAAGUGUUAGGGGGUUUCCGCCCCUUAGUGCUGCAGCUAACGCAUUAAGCACUCCGCCUGGGGAGUACGACCGCAAGGUUGAAACUCAAAGGAAUUGACGGGGACCCGCACAAGCGGUGGAGCAUGUGGUUUAAUUCGAAGCAACGCGAAGAACCUUACCAAAUCUUGACAUCCUUUGACAACUCUAGAGAUAGAGCCUUCCCCUUCGGGGGACAAAGUGACAGGUGGUGCAUGGUUGUCGUCAGCUCGUGUCGUGAGAUGUUGGGUUAAGUCCCGCAACGAGCGCAACCCUUAAGCUUAGUUGCCAUCAUUAAGUUGGGCACUCUAAGUUGACUGCCGGUGACAAACCGGAGGAAGGUGGGGAUGACGUCAAAUCAUCAUGCCCCUUAUGAUUUGGGCUACACACGUGCUACAAUGGACAAUACAAAGGGCAGCGAAACCGCGAGGUCAAGCAAAUCCCAUAAAGUUGUUCUCAGUUCGGAUUGUAGUCUGCAACUCGACUACAUGAAGCUGGAAUCGCUAGUAAUCGUAGAUCAGCAUGCUACGGUGAAUACGUUCCCGGGUCUUGUACACACCGCCCGUCACACCACGAGAGUUUGUAACACCCGAAGCCGGUGGAGUAACCAUUUGGAGCUAGCCGUCGAAGGUGGGACAAAUGAUUGGGGUGAAGUCGUAACAAGGUAGCCGUAUCGGAAGGUGCGGCUGGAUCACCUCCUUUCUAA
rnacentral:rRNA from 1 species